GAAUGGAAAAAAAAAAAAAAAAUAUAUAACUCCAAGUCCACAUAGGCUCCUUUACUUCAAUCACCCAAAAAGAAAAAC